CUAAAUUACUGAUUUAUUUUGACAUUGAGCGAUCAAAUUAAAAAGCAUCGCAACUUAAACUGCAAGAUUAAAAAGAGUUGAUGCUCUCAAUUCAGUCCACGCCUCUGCUUCUCUCUCCCGCGCGCGCGGAAUUUGCAGCAAUCACUCUGGGUUGUGAAGCCAUGAAUAGGCCUGACCAGAAAAAGAUUAAGGAGGUAGAAGGAAUUCCCUUGUGCGUAUGAGUGUGUUUUUGUGUGCAUGAACGGCAUCUGAUAGAAGUAAAACUUUAAACAUGCAUACCUAAGCUGAACAUAGCCAUUCCAAGUCCUCCAUCUGACAAUAGUGUAACUGAAUUUUCAAUUAUUUUAGGCAAUUUUACUGACCACCUGCACAUAAUGACAGUCGUAAUGUGAGACUUACAGUUGAUCUAUGGUGUUCUGGGAUAGUCAAACUCUUUACCACCAAUUGGUUACAACAGCCAAUAGUCUGCAUGAGUUUUGUUUGUAUUACCUGAAAUGUAUGCAUGCCCAUAAAAUGCCAACAAAGGUGGCAUAUGUGUUGGGAUUUCUGAUAAGCUUCUUUCCUACUGUUGAGAUAAUAAUUUUUAUGUUUCUUUUCCUCAGAUCUUUGAUUCCUUCAUCUUUCUCGUCUACAUUCAUUGCUUCUGCUCUUUGUGGACUCUCCACUGCUCCUUCAAAGAAAUGUUCACACUUAUUAAAUCAAAGUAAUUGGCAGAAAAAAGUAGCUCAAUUAGAAUAUUUUCACUGUAGUAACAUUCAUGCAGCAUUAUUUUGUUAUGGCCUUGAAAUUUUGAAAUCUUAGUAAGCAAAGAAAACAUGACAAAUUCAGGUGGCUUUUAGUUCUCUGUUCUUGGGGAAGGGAUUAAAUGGGUGAAACCAAUCUUGCAGAUAAAAUGAAUGGAUUUAGUGAAGUAUCUGUCAUUGACUGGGCUGUUACAUAGGCUGCUUGGCCAAGUAUUUCAAUUGGAGACUUGAUUUUCUGCUUUCAUUCAAAUCUAUGCCUAUUUCUAAUUGUUCUACCUUGUCUUUGUUUGCUCCUUAUAAUGUUUGUUGAUUUACUUUCUUCUAGACUAUAAAGAAUUGACCAAAUUCUUCCAGACUUGUUUGAGUAUUCAUAUGUGUGCAAGUGUAAAUAACAUUGGCGGAGGCAAAACUUAAAGUAGUAGGGCCCAAAAAUUUAGCAAUCUUUAAGACUGAAGAAAUUUGGAAGAUCACUAUUGAUGGAGGGAGCAUAUAAUAGAAGCUAGAUGAGUCUAAAAGUAAAAAUUUAAUUAUUAACAUAAACUCUCCAUGCAUACCUGUUACUUCUGAAGAUGAUGUUGCAUUGAUGGAUUCCUCUGUAGCAUUAAUCUCAAAAAGAACUAACAGAAGGUUGUACCAAAUAAGGCUUUGUAAUACAACUAUUUGGGCCAGGAGGGUUGAUGCUUCUUUCCCAUACAUAGCCUCUAUCAGUGGGAGUCCUAAUAUCAAUGUAUUAGGCAAUGUCGACAAGGAGAGACCCGUUAUCACCCAACUCAGGCUCCCUCUGGAUCUUAUUUUGGCUAUUGCAGCCAGUAUGAUGAGAGCAAGAAACUUUUGAAGGAAAUCAGCAGAUACCAGUUUCAGGUUCAUCUUAUAAGGAUUGUUUGAUGAGAUUACCUUGAAAGAUAAAAGGGGGAUUGAAAAAUUUGCAACAAAUUUGUUGAUGCCGGAACACUGAUCUGGUGUAAAUAGUUUCCACCAUUUUAUCGACAGCAACGCUGCAGUCAUGGCGACAUAGAGGGGGAUUAUCGAUGCAAUAACAUGAUCUUCGAUGGAGGAAUAAAGAAGUGCAUUGCAAGAGAAGGUUUGGAAUCUUGCAAAGUUAGUGAAUCUAUCCGAUCACUCGGCCUAGGUUGCUGUUGAGCGUCGACAGGUGGGCCAUUGGGAUGGUGUAUUUAUCAUUCUCUAAAUUUGAUAACACAUGGAAUUAUUCCGAGGUCAUCUGUCGCAAAAUGGCAUAUACUGUGAGGUAAGGAAACAUAAAAUCAAACACUAUUUGCAAAUUAGGACUAUUUGUAAUGUUUUAUCUUGAUAUUUGUUUCAAAUGUAUCUUUAUAUGUUGGUGUGUUGACAAUAACCAAUUUCGAAGAUUAAAUAUUAUAGGAGAUCUAGGAAAAGUUUAGGUGGUUGAGUGUGGUUUCAAUACGUGUGCUUUUCUCCCUUUUCUUUUUAUAGUGAGUAUUUCAUUUUCUAUCAAUUUGCUCCGCAUGAAAUGUCUUUUGUUAAAAGCAAAAAGUGAGGCCAAAUUUAUACUCGAUUUUUUCUUUUCCAACAAUAAAGAGUAUAUAUAUUUAUCACUUCGAAACCCUAGCUCUAUCUCAUGUUUUGGUGUUUCACCCGUCUUCCAUUUUCAAACGUUUUCGUUAUUUUUAAUUUUUUUUUUUCAAUUUCGAAAAUUUAUGUAUCACUUUAAGGGUAUGCAAUUAUUUUAGCACUUAAUUUCAAUUUUUAAGCUAACUAAAUACUAUUAUCAUGAAUUUAUCUACGUGCACAAUAUCUUCAUUAGUUUUAAUUUUAAAGUGUUCAUGUGAAUUUAAGUAGUUAUUUUUAUUAAUUGUAGAAUGCAUGUGUAUACAUUUCCAUACUUGAUUAUACUAAGAAGUAAGGAAUAUUUUAAUUUUGUCGUCUGACUACCUUUUGUUGAGCUCUCUUUUAUUUCAUGUUAUUACUAGUAUAUAUAGGUACCUAGUUAUCCUAGAAUAUAGCUUAAGAUUAGCAGCUUGGCACAUUUGAUUUCUUUUCGUAAAGGUAUCUCUAUUAGCUAGAGUGACGACUCACCCUCACCUGCCGACCCAUAUAUUUAUAUGUUUUUAUAUACUAUGCGUUAGCGUUACAUCAAUACUAGUACUACAUAAAGUUUGGUUUCAUUUUAAUUAACCAAUAGUAGUACUAUAUAGUUUCCACUAUCUCUGGAUAUUGUAUAUCAAGCUGAUAAUAUUGAAUAAAUCUGGUUUGUUUUUCGAAA